UACGUAGGGGGCUAGCGUUGUCCGGAAUCAUUGGGCGUAAAGCGCGUGUAGGCGGCCUUGUAAGUCCGUUCUGAAAGCCCGGGGCUCAACCCCGGGAGGCGGAUGGAAACUGCAAGGCUCGAGUCCGGAAGAGGCGAGUGGAAUUCCCGGUGUAGCGGUGAAAUGCGCAGAUAUCGGGAGGAACACCAAUGGCGAAGGCGGCUUACUGGUCCGGUUCUGACGCUGAGGCGCGAAAGCGUGGGGAGCAAACAGG
rnacentral:rRNA from 1 species